UGUUGUUAAAGCAGAAGCUUAGCCUGUACAUCUUCGCAUUUCCGUUAGGCAUCGAAUGCAUUGGAGGAGCUUUGCUUCACAAUUAUGAGGAGUCUGCCAAAGGCCCAGCAAACAGAUGAAAAAGAUAAUACCAAAAGGUUCUUAUUUCAUUAUUCAAAGACACGGAAGUUGGGCAAUUCAAAUGUUGUGUCGUCUGUCGUGCAUCCGUUGCUGCAGCUCGUUCCUCAACUACAUGAGAGAAGAAUGAAGAGAUUCAAAGUGGACG